CUUCCAGUAGCAUUUUAGAGACCAACAAAGUUUGUUAUUGGUAUGAGCUUUCGUGUGCAUGCACACUUCUUCAGAUACAUGCACACGAAAGCUCAUACCAAUAACAAACUUAGCUGGUCUCUAAGGUGCUACUGGAAG